GAUGAACGCUGGCGGCGUGCCUAAUACAUGCAAGUCGAGCGAACAGACGAGGAGCUUGCUCCUCUGACGUUAGCGGCGGACGGGUGAGUAACACGUGGAUAACCUACCUAUAAGACUGGGAUAACUUCGGGAAACCGGAGCUAAUACCGGAUAAUAUAUUGAACCGCAUGGUUCAAUAGUAAAAGACGGUUUUGCUGUCACGUAUAGAUGGAUCCGCGCCGCAUUAGCUAGUUGGUAAGGUAACGGCGUACCAAGGAGACGAUGCGUAGCCCACCUGAGAGGGUGAUCGGCCACACUGGAACUGAGACACGGUCCAGACGCCUACGGGAGGCAGCAGUAGGGCAUCUUCCGCAAUGGGCGGAAGCCUGACGGAGCAACGCCGCGUGAGUGAUGAAGGUCUUCGGAUCGUAAAACUCUGUUAUUAGGGAAGAACAAAUGUGUAAGUAACUAUGCACGUCUUGACGGUACCUAAUCAGAAAGCCACGGCUAACUCCGUG
rnacentral:rRNA from 1 species